rnacentral:lncRNA from 1 species
CCCUCACUCUCUCCACUCCCAGACUCCCAGUCCACUCACGAUGGCAGAUCUCGGCGAGUCACCCACCCCACCGCCUCCGCUCUCGCCCCCACAGCCGGCGACCUCGUCUCGCACCGCCACCCCAUCUCAUCCCCUCCCCAACUCCCCUCCACUCAUCCGACGGCGGCUAGAGACGCACACAACCGGCGACCAACAUCACACAAAGGUCGCCACCGCCGGCGGUGGAAGGACAGUCUUCUCCCGCCGCUAGCCGCAACCUCUGCCUCGCCCUGAUCCUCGGCCUCCUCGACCGCCGCUCGCUCUCCUGGGAAGCACCUCGCCACCUCCCUUCCCAUGCUGUCUUCGCCGACUGCCCUGCUCGCGCCGACCUCGCGAAUCUCGCGGCCGCGCUUGGCAGUGCUCGACUUGUCCUCGCCGCCGCCAGCGGCGACGGGUCCUUCCCGUGCCUCUACCGCCUCGUGGCCGAGUCCUCCUCUCCCCAAAUCGACACCCGCCCCUUUGUCGAGCCUGCCGUGCCAGCGACAUGAGCAGGAUGGUGGCCGUCGAGGCUUCGGAUGCGGUCGACGCAGAUGAGAACAGUUCAUAGAGUCGUACCAGGUAUAGCUACUCUUCCUCUUCAAUCAAUAGCAGGCAAUUCUGUGUGUGGAGGUUGCAGCUCACACGGGUUUGUGGAGGUGUUGGCUCCAGUAUUUACCAGGGAUGUUUGUAGAUGUGUUGGCAUAUGAACCAAUACAUAAAUUGAUUGAUUGAUUGCUUAGCACAAUGCUGAUUAGACUAAAUAAUUAGUUGAUCGAAUUAUUUGCAUCUGACAUGUUGCACACAUAUAUCAGGCAGAACAAGUUGUUCCACGCAUGGGGUCUGAUUUAAAUAUUUUCGGAGAUGCAUAAUAUGCCAAACACUUCUAAAGGUGCCUCGUCCAUGGGCGCAUGAUAGUGGAAAAACAUCUGUAAAUUGUGCAGGAUCCUAUAGAGCAAAUGGGCAUCAUCGACGUGCAGUACACGCUCUCUUAGGCAGAUAAGUAACCUCAGACAACUUAUUUUGUGAAGACCGGUGGUUCAUGGUCUGGAAGUUUUGUUUUUCUCUCUAAAUUUUGUACUUAGAUAAUCCCUUAAAUGCUUUUUACUGCUUGAUCACAUAAUACAUGUCCGUGCAAGAAAGGAGUUGUUAAAAN